rnacentral:lncRNA from 1 species
AUAGCACUGGAACAGUAGAACAAGUAGUAUACUGAUGAAAUCGAACUCAUGAAACAGAGAAAAGCUUCACGCGAUGUCACAAUCACAACACGUAGCAAACAUGGCAGGUUUGGCAUUAACGGGACUAAUUAACAUCUCGUUCAAUUCUGUACAUAUAUGUGUAUCCGUUAAGCACAACAAAUCGUGCGUGUUUGAUGGGUCAUUCGACGACGAUCAUUUGCUACACUUUUGAGAUACAGGGUUGAGAGAGUAACGCAUCCGAAGCUAAGCUAGCGCCUCCAGUUUCAAAUUCAAACCUACAGGAUUCAUCUUAUCCAUCUUAACAUGAAAAAUUUUGGAAGGGAAAAAAAAGACGAAGGGGAAGUAACCACUUGCCAUGUAGUGCCAUGUCCGAAGCAUCCCUUCUUCUUCGCGACGAUCGCCUCGGGAAGGCGUGCACGCGGGCACAGAGGCGACCCACCGGCCAAAUGCCGCGACGGCGACCCAUGGCCGGCGGUUCUACUCCUUUAUCCGGAGCCACUGGCCGAGCUGCGUCGGGUUGACN